UGUAGUAUAAAAUUUAAUUAUUUAAUUAAUCAUUAAACACACCCAUCAACCCCUUUUUCGUGCACCAAACACAGAUGUACUUUAAUCCUAACAAUCUGCUUUGACAAAUCUAUUUACUUAUUUAUUUUUAUUUACUUAUUCAAGAAUUAUGAACAGAACAUGCAUACAAACGUUUUGUUCAGCCUAAAUAAGUAUAUGUUGCAAUCGGAACUACUUUUUGUCUCGCGUGAAUACGUAGCCCUACCCGUGACCGAACCACUCAAAGCAUAUAUAAACACCGCCAUUUUGUCUCCUGAGUCACAUUGCUUCGAAUCUUCGUGCGCUUUCCUUGUGGCUGGUCAGGUGAAACCGUUCCUUUUGUCAUUAGAUAUAUAUUUUAUGGUGACAUUCUUUUGUUAAAGAAUGGGGAAAGUGGCUUAGUAUUACGUAGAUUGUAAUGUAGAACUUCUGUUGUUCUGGCAGUAAAUGAACGGUAGUUGGCAUCUUGUCUCCGGUCUUUUAUCAGUGUUUAUUCGCCGUUUGAUCAGACUUAACUUAAAAAAUGUCUGUUUUUUGCUCACCUUAAAACACAAGCUGGCCUUUGUUCAUUUAGAGUACAAUUGAACUUUUUCGUAAUUUAGCGGUUGUAAAGUUGGUGAACCUUUAACUUGGUGGCUGAAUUACUGCCAAAGUUGCCUUUUUACUCGUUUUACCAUCAUCUGCUUAUUUUUUAAAUGGUCUGAAGACUUAUUACGGUCUCAUUUUUGUAACCGUUGUUUUUGCAAAAUGGCCGCCGUGACGUAAGACCUAUGACUAGUUUCAUUGGAUGGUUGGAACCACGUGUGGUCCGCCUUCCGUUUACGACGUCAGUGGCCCAGAUAUAUUUGACCCCCCCUUUUUUCCCCUUAAGUCUCACUACUCUUGAUACCGACCAAGGACAGUUGGUUAUUGAAAAUGUGACCAAAGGUUGCUUGUCUUUUUACGAUGUCCUUGUUAAUUAUGUUACUUGUUUAUUUUGAUUAUAGGAGUUGUCAGUGUAUCAGCCAACAGACACUCGUUUGUGCUACUAACAGGCAAUUUUUGAAGGCAAAUGCCCAAAUCUGAUGAGUCAUCCCACUGAUGGGGGAAAAAAUGCGAGCCAGCAUAAUUUAAAAACAAUGGUAGCCUGUACUUGUAGGUACUGUAAUUUUUUUGAGGCAAUGAUUUUCAAAAGCGUAUUUUUUUAUGUUUUUUUUUAUUUAUUUUUUUGCCACAUCACUACCGAAAAGUUGAGUUGCUUGGAUGAAGCACUUUUGAGACAUCAAGGAAAAUUUUUUUUUGAAAACGCAGAAAUUAAGUUGCAAGCUCAGCUGCUCAAUAUUGAAGAAUUUUUUUUACUUUUUUGGCCCGAUGGACUGAGUUUAUUUGGAGGCAUGAACUUAGUUGUUGAGAGGAAAAUGGACUUAGUUGUUGCAAGGAAGAAUGGACUUAGCCUUUAGAAGAUCGUGGGAUCAGCAACGAGUGAGGCCGACGCGGGGAUGACGAAGCGGGAGCGUGUUGGGACCAGAGGGCAAACCAGGCAGGACAGGACCAGCGCGCGUGUUCCGACCAGAGGGCGAACCAGGCAGAGCAGGACCAGAGGGCGAACCAGGCAGAGCAGGACCAGAGGGCGAACCAGGCAGAGCAGGACCAGAGCGUGCUGAGGGCGAUCAGAGGGGUCCAAAAGAGCAGACAGCAGCAGCCACCAGAUGGAGCCAGUGACAGGGUAGCGUCGUCAAAGGUUCAUCAUUGAAGCGGUUCAGCUGAUCCAGAGCAGGCCAGCCAGCCAAGCGGGUUGAACAGGGCCCAAACAUCUUCAUGCUACGGGUUAAUCACAAAGGCGUUGGUUUGUAUGAUGGUAGAGGUAUCUGUAACAGGCCCUAUUUAAUUCACAAAACUUUCUAUAGGACCAUUGUCUCGUACAGCUUUCUCUUCCCUUUUCCAGGCUAUCUAUAAAGUGUUGCGUACCUUGAUCAUCAAUCCUGUUGCGUGCUGACUCGGCAUGGUGGUGUCCACUGGGACGAGUGCCUUGGUAGUGUGGUGGCGAGAGCAGCGCCUUAUUGGAAUUCUCUACUCCCUGCGAUCACAAGUAGUUCCCCCAGCCAGCGGGGGAGGCAGUCCUUUGUUCGCUAGCCCUACUUGAAGUUUGUCUAAUUGGGUAUCUUCUACACAUUUUUGCAUGGGAAGGGGUGGGGGGGCGUUAACCAGUCUCUUCCCAGACUUCACAGCUUUCAAGUUUCCCAUCACAAUGGCUUGAAUAAGAAUCAACUCGGUGUGCCAACCACACGUCAGUCAAGUGGACAGUUUUCCUCGCAGGAUAGCAGCCUAAAGUAGUCAACCUGGUGUAGCCAGAGCACAUUUGGAAUGUGGUAACAUUCUCUUUACUAAGUCAUUGCAAUUCUGUACAGGCAUGCUGCUGUGGGUUGGGUAUGGGGCUGUGUCUUUGUUACUUUUGCAGAUAAGUUUUACCAGCCCUUCGGUAAGCUACAGCCAAGCCUACGUCUCCACACAUCUAAGAAUAAGGUGGAAAUUCUUCGCGUUCACAACUGCGGUAUUUAAUUACUGUAGGAAACGUCUUUAUUAUACGUCACAAUUUGUAGCUUGCACUGUUGUGUAUUUGGGUGGGGUCCUGUGGGGGAGGCCUUUUCCUUUGCAUUUUUCAGUGUGCCGUGUCCUGUGCGCUUUUCCAAUACCCGCGACCGCCUGGAAGUCUCCUAACUCAUUGUAUGUACACGUUCCUUGCGCUUCGAGCAUCACGUAAGGCCAUUAAAUGUAUCCAUUUUUAACUUUCAUUGUCUUGUAGAAUUCCUCCAUUGCAAUUCCUUUGCAAUUAGUUGACAUCCUUUGUAUUGAUAAUACAAUGAGUGAACUAUUUGUAAAGGAUUCUUUUCUACCUGCAUAAUAAAUGCAUAGCUUGUUGCGAUUGAAUACAGUAUUGGUAUGCAUUUGUUCUUUGGGGGGCUUUUGUGGGGGAGCUCUUUUUGUGCUUUUCAGGUAUUUAAGCUUGGAGCUUUGUUGCGCAUGGAUGUGACCAGGGCUUGAGUGCUCCCUUUCAAAGUGGAAAUUGAAGGCAGAUAAGUGGAUUCCAUCAAAUAUUGAUGUUGGAAAUUAGCUAAAUUCCUAAAACCAAUGUCCAAUGGGCGCGGCCGCCCUCCUCUCAAAAGCAACUUGCUAUACGCAACAUGAUACAUAGCAUUGCUUUGUCGUCUUGUGCUGAGAUAGACACAUUUGAUGGGCCUUGAUUGUCAUAUCUGCAGUAAAGCAUUCGACUAAGGAUAACAAUAGUCAGUUCUACGAUUUAUUUUUUUAUUCAAUAUGGGACUUGUGAGGUUUGUAGGGGUUGUUUUGUCCGUCUCUCUUAAUUCUACAGAGCAGUCAACAAAGGAGGAAUGCGUACUCACCCUUGACAACGCAAGAUUCUUGGUGACCAAGAAAUCAACCGUCACGUUGUCAGGUUUUAAUGCGGUCGCAUUUAGUCCUCAGCUACAUGCCCUUGCGCAACGGUGCAAGUGGCAAGUCUCUAUGCCUUGAAAUAGAAAUGUCAGCCAUCACGCAACUGUGUGAAGUAGAACAUUGUGUAGCUGAGUACAGCUGUGCAUUGUGCAGCUUAAACUAGAUUCGAAUGCAACGCAAAUGUGUUGCACUUAAAUUAGCGCUGGUUAUGGUUGUUCGUGUCCUGCACUUCUCUUUACAGAGCUCAGGUUGUGACACUCGCGCAGAAACGAUGUCAUCUAACCAGGAGACUAGUAAGAUGUUGACUUUGUAUGUUUUAACAGUUGUAGACAAAGACAUCUUGGAACUGGCUUUAUGUUAACCUCAAAUGAAUAACGAUGCUUUACUAGAGAAUUCCUCUUUGGCCAAUGGGCACCCUUGCUUCGCAUCUUAAAACUUAAGAUGAGUAGAAAUUUGAGUUUUCUGUGCUGGGUGUUGUGUAGAUCACUCUGUUUCAGAUUGUUUUCGUCUGUCCACUCCGACCUCGCCCGCCCGCCUCUGAAUGCAAAGUCAUCUGUGGAAGCUGUCGACGAAUGUGUAGCCCCUGAAUGACAUAUCAACCCUUUGUGCGCUUGAGCUUAAAGCCGACAUCCUUCGCAGAACCCUGCUCUUUCUCUUCGUGCGUGUGUGCUUCUUUCCGUUUGGUUUCUCAGGUCAAAUUUCCAAACGCAUUUUCUGUUUUGCGCCUGGGAUGGGCUAGCCUGUGAUGGAACGGAGAAUCCAGUCACUUAGAUCAACAGCUGCAAGUUUGUUUCCCCCCCUCCCCUCCCUAAUGCGCAUCACUUGUAUGUUGAAAGUUAAGUAAUUUCAAUUCUCUUAAUCUCCAUGCUAUGGCUUUAAAGUGUAACUACCUUUGCUGCAUGUACAUCAGCGCUGCAUAACCUGUUUGUACUUUGUGCGUAAUGUUUAGUUACAAUGCCAAGCUUUGGGAGUUUGUGGGGUGGGCACAACAAUCUUGUCUUUUCAGGAUGUUUUUCAGCAUUAAUCACUCGAGGCUCACAUCUUAAACCUCUGCGUCAAGCCGUCGGAUGCCUUGAUUCUGCCUUCCUAGUUUUGAAAUUGUGCUUCACUACGGAAGAGUAGCUGGCCAUUAAUGUGGUUUCGCCUGGUGGUGGUAAAUGAAAACCUAACAUUGGUAUGUUUUCGGGUGUAUAUGGGAGGGGAGGGGGUGGGGAGCUUCAAAUUGUCUGUUUUUUUUCCCCCCCUUACAACAGCUUUGACAGUUCGUUCGACCAGGAGUGUCCUGUCCAGUAUCGUUCAUGAGGGAAAAAUGGGCUUUGCGUACCACCUGAGAUGCUGGUAUCACAUUUAAUGAAGGGAUCCUCUUGAUCACAUCGCCCCACCAUACAUUAUAGUUGCGGGAAAUGCUGGGGUGCGGGGGCAACCAGUUGUCUUCUAGUUUCAGCUUCGUGUCCAGACAUAACCCGUGCGGUGACAAGAUCACAUAGCGGCCAGGUCGUCAUGGGUUUUCUUUUCCUGGAGGAACAAGCUCUUUGCUUUGUUCCUCCAGGUUUUGCUUUUGCCCACAACACAGUAAAAAGCAAAAGACUCCGGUGGUGGCACUCCUGACUCUGUCGGGACGGGGUUCAAUUCCCUGCGGUGUCUUGCUUUAUCAGUGUACCGUGGAAACGCGUUUGAAGCCAGAUGACCAUUGGAGAGGAUGCAGCCCCUUCAGCUGGCGGUCUAUCCUACUGGCAUGACCUUCGUCGGUGUCUUUGUGAUUGCCUCAUAUGUGAAGUACUUUGAAAUGCACUACAAAUAAAAUAUAGAAUAACAAAAUCA